UCUCUUGCACAGGGUUAUAGUAUUUGAAAUUUUGCAAGAUGGAAUAUCAUUUGGACGACGCUGUCAAACAGAUUCUCGGUAAAGUUAUGUCGAACUGUAAUUUUGUCAGUUUCACUUCGGUAUUAGAUUUGCUAGAUGACGAGCACGCAGACAUAUUACGUCGAUCGUGCUUAUGGCCAUUGUAUUCCUUACGCAACAUACAAUUUUCUGAGCAGCUGCUCGAUGCCCUGUUAUGUCGGCUGCUUAAGCCAGUUAACGGAGAUAUCUUCCAUUUUGAUCUUGGGGGGCAAGAUAGCAACGUUUUCCAUAUUCGAGUUUGCCCUCAUCACUGGAUUGCGAUGUACGGACGAAGAAGCGGUGAGGUCCUGUAUUUCGAGGAAUAGGAGGUUGUUAAAUGAAUAUUUUCAUGGAUAGACGAAAGUUACUUUGGCGUUGUUGGGAGACGCAUUCAGGGGAUACAGUCAGAUGUCUGAUAAGCUGAAAUUGGGCUUGGUGCUUAUCCUUGAGAGCGUACUCAGGUGUCAUCACAAAAAGACAUCGAUUGACAUUUUCCAUUUAGAGGUUGUUGAUGACAUUGAUACCUUUAAUAUCUAUCCAUGGGGACGAAAAUGUUUUAUGGAUACAUUACGCGUCUUCAGGAGGGGGUUUUCGAUGCCUAAGGGAGAUAGGCUCGAGCACAAAUACGAUGCAUAUGGACUGUCGUUGGCGUUGCAGGUAUAUGUUUAAGUUAAUUAAUUAUCUACGCUUUUUUUAUUAAAUUCUAUAUAUAAUAAUUGUGGUAUUGUCUAACCUAGCUUUAAUUAAUUUUAAAAUUUCUCCUCAAUGUUAAAUUACUUAUUUUCAACUAUUGCUAUUUAUUGCAUUUUCAUUUAUGUGGCCAAUGAA
rnacentral:lncRNA from 1 species